rnacentral:rRNA from 2 species
GUAACAAGGUACCCCUUGGGUUUGAGCUUGGGUCAGUAAUGCCAAGCAGUCUGCCUUGUGGUGUUUUAUUGCGUUAGGAAACGGACGCUAAUACCGCAUACGUCCUACGGGAGAAAGCGGGGGAUCUUCGGACCUCGCGCCAUUAGAUGAGCCUAGGUCGGAUUAGCUAGUUGGUGAGGUAAUGGCUCACCAAGGCGACGAUCCGUAACUGGUCUGAGAGGAUGAUCAGUCACACUGGAACUGAGACACGGUCCAGACUCCUACGGGAGGCAGCAGUGGGGAAUAUUGGACAAUGGGCGAAAGCCUGAUCCAGCCAUGCCGCGUGUGUGAAGAAGGUCUUCGGAUUGUAAAGCACUUUAAGUUGGGAGGAAGGGUUGUAGAUUAAUACUCUGCAAUUUUGACGUUACCGACAGAAUAAGCACCGGCUAACUUCGUGCCAGCAGCCGCGGUAAUACGAAGGGUGCAAGCGUUAAUCGGAAUUACUGGGCGUAAAGCGCGCGUAGGUGGUUCGUUAAGUUGGAUGUGAAAGCCCCGGGCUCAACCUGGGAACUGCAUCCAAAACUGGCGAGCUAGAGUACGGUAGAGGGUGGGGGGAUUUUCCUGUGAAGCGGUGAAAUGCGUAGAUAUAGGAAGGAACACCAGUGGCGAAGCCGACCA